rnacentral:lncRNA from 1 species
AUCCUGAAAGCCAAGAAUAGUUGGCUGCCUACUGCCACUCACUACAGGAUCCUUGGUCCCUGGUGAUCAUGAAGCCUGAUGAUGUCACCCUGCAGUGUGAAUUCUCCAAUAGGGAAAAAAAAAUGGACCUGAGAGUGCUAAAACCUACUUCAUUGUGGACAUGGCUGCUCCCAUCCCUGGGUGUGCUCCCAUCACUUGGGUGCUCAAGGCUUGUCUUCGUGUUCCUAGUGUUGAGUGGAGAAACACCACGACCAAAAAGCAACUUGAGUAGGGUGUGGCCUUGGUGGAAAAAGUGUGUCACUGUGGGGCUGGGCUUUGAGACCCUCCUCCUAGCUGCCUGGAAGUCAGUCUUCUCUUUGCCUUCAGAACAAGAUGCAAACCUCUCUGCUCCUCCUGCACCGUGCCUGUCUGGAUGCUACCCUGCUCCCACCUUGAUGAUAAUGGACUGAACCUUUGAACCCUAAGCCAGUCCCAAUUAAAUGUUGUCCUUUAUAAGACUUGCAUUGAUCAUGGUGUCUGUUCACAGCAAUAAAACCCUAAGAUAGUGAGGGAAGAGUUUAUUUGGCUUACAUUCCCGAG